rnacentral:lncRNA from 1 species
UGAAUUUUAACUCGCACAUGACCUAAGGGAGGUGCACACGGGCAUGUGACACGGCUGUGUGGCCUAACGCAAGCCCUUACAAGAUUGUGUCAGCCCUUUUAUCCUUCAAACCCUAAUUUUUAUAUUGUCUUCUUCUCACCCCAAAGCCCUACCCAACCGUCGUUCUUGUCAUCCAUCACCAGUCCGACCUUCUUUCCCCCUAUUCGACCACCGCCGUCCGUCCUUCUCCACUCGUCGCACCACCACCCACGCCCCCAUGCCCUAGCUCCUCCCUUUCCCUGUCUUUCUUCCCCAUCGCGCCUACCCUAUAGCCCCACCCCCUUGAGCCACACACUACCCUCC